AAAAACUCCGGUGGUAUACGAUGGAUCCGCGUCUGAUUAGCUUGUUGGCGGGGUAAAGGCCCACCAAGGCGACGAUCAGUAGCCGGCCUGAGAGGGUGAACGGCCACAUUGGGACUGAGACACGGCCCAAACUCCUACGGGAGGCAGCAGUGGGGAAUAUUGCACAAUGGGGGGAACCCUGAUGCAGCGACGCCGCGUGAGUGAAGAAGUAUUUCGGUAUGUAAAGCUCUAUCAGCAGGGAAGAAAAUGACGGUACCUGACUAAGAAGCCCCGGCUAACUACGUGCCAGCAGCCGCGGUAAUACGUAGGGGGCAAGCGUUAUCCGGAUUUACUGGGUGUAAAGGGAGCGUAGACGGCAGCGCAAGUCUGGAGUGAAAUACCAUGGCUUAACCAUGGAACUGCUUUGGAAACUGUGCAGCUAGAGUGCAGGAGAGGUAAGCGGAAUUCCUAGUGUAGCGGUGAAAUGCGUAGAUAUUAGGAGGAACACCAGUGGCGAAGGCGGCUUACUGGACUGUAACUGACGUUGGGGCUCGAAAGCGUGGGGAGCAAACAGGAUUAGAUACCCUGGUAGUCCACGCUGUAAACGAUGAUUACUAGGUGUUGGGGGACCAAGGUCCUUCG
rnacentral:rRNA from 1 species